rnacentral:lncRNA from 1 species
GCACCUUUCUAGGCAUUUGAAGUCCAUGGGAGCAAGACAACUGAAAAAUAAAAGCAGCUACAGUCUUGUUUAUGGCAUGAAAAUAUUUCUGCAAUCUAGUUUUAUGGUACACUUGACCUUUAACAGUGAUGACUGAUAUAAUGUUUUACUGAGAGACAGUCACUGAGGUGAAUUGUGGCUUUUUAUUCUAGAGCAGUACUGACACUUUCAGCUUAGAAAAGGCUUCCUUAGCAGCUUCUCGGCUGUUUUCUUUGUGCUGAUGCUUAUAUCUUAGAGAGAGAAAGAACUCAAGUUCACAGCUUUUAAGUAUUUAUAAAAAUGAGGCCCUUGCCAUUCUCCCUGUGGACAGGGCCAGGCAGAGAUGAAACACAAAUAAAUCAAGCAUUUUUGUAGGGCUUGUGGCUGCUCUACUCUGCGUACUAAGUUAGCUUUCUGCACGUGUUCAACUCCAGCAGCUAACACAUGUGUCCCUCCAGCCCCUCAUGCUUUCAACCUACUGCUGGGUUGCAGAGGCAGGAGGUAGAGGCUGCUUAAGCUCCUGGAGCAGGUGGAGAGUUCCAUACUCCCCCCUUGGAUGCUGGUGGCACACACUUUUCCUGUGGGUGUGAGAGAGUGGAACCCUCCUUUAGUUCAGCUUGUUGGGUGUGGUAUCCUGCUGCUUGCUUGCAGUAGCUUUUGGGGGUUGGGGGGGAGGAGGGCUGGAGGCAUAGUUGCACAUAUGCAUGCAUGCUGAUGCACAUGCAUGGGUGCACGCGUGGAUCACGCUGCUGUGCACCUGCAUGCAUGGAUGUACAAAUGGGAGCAUGCGUAUGGGUGUGCACUCAGCCAUUCGGGAACCUGCUUUGGCAGGGGGUUGGACUCGAUGAUCUCUGGAGCUCCCUUCCAACUCCUGUGGGUGCAGGUGGGUGCACGCAUGUGCGCAUAUGGAUGUACCCGGGCACAUGCACGGAUGCGCACGCACGUGCACCCGCACACACGCGGCCACAGGCACGCUCCUGCACACCGAGCUGUGCAGUGCCGCAAACGACCGCACACCCUCGCGCACGCUCCUGGCUCACCCGCAUCCCCCGCGCAGGUCCUCGCAGCCCGCCCUGCCUUGCCCCCGCCCCAGGAGCAUCCCGAGGGCGGAGACGCUGCGUUCUCCCGGGACCGCCCGCCGGGCCGAGAAGCGGAGCCUGCCCUCUGGGAGCGAGUGAGACGACCGUGGCACUGCGCGGCUACAGACCGGCCCCCCCAUGUGGGGCUCCGGGAUGGAGGCGUCCGACCGCUGCCGGCGGCACCUUCCCGUUCUGCUGCUGUGGGGAGAGCAAAAAUAAUCAAUGCCACAUCCCUCUUAGCAAAAUCCAAAAUGUGACUGGAGUUGUACUAAUACACUGGGUUCCUGUUUAUUCCAUCCACCUGGUUGUACUGCAAAUUGCUGAUUAG